rnacentral:rRNA from 1 species
GACGAACGCUGGCGGCGUGCCUAAUACAUGCAAGUAGAACGCACAGUUUAUACCGUAGCUUGCUACACCAUAGACUGUGAGUUGCGAACGGGUGAGUAACGCGUAGGUAACCUGCCUGGUAGCGGGGGAUAACUAUUGGAAACGAUAGCUAAUACCGCAUAAUAUUAAUUAUUGCAUGAUAAUUAAUUGAAAGGUGCAAUUGCACCACUACCAGAUGGACCUGCGUUGUAUUAGCUAGUAGGUGAGGUAACGGCUCACCUAGGCGACGAUACAUAGCCGACCUGAGAGGGUGAUCGGCCACACUGGGACUGAGACACGGCCCAGACUCCUACGGGAGGCAGCAGUAGGGAAUCUUCGGCAAUGGACGAAAGUCUGGCCGAGCAACGCCGCGUGAGUGAAGAAGGGUUUCGGAUCGUAAAGCUCUGUUGUAAGAGAAGAACGGGUGUGAGAGUGGAAAGUUCACACUGUGACGGUAUCUUACCAGAAAGGGACGGCUAACUACGUG